rnacentral:lncRNA from 1 species
ACCUCCUACUAGGUCUCUUCUCUCACUUUACACUUAAUCACAGUUCCUCUAUCCUUGCCCCCUUUGGUAAGUAAUGCUUUGAGGCCCUAGAGUUCCCUCUAAAGUUUGAUGCCUGAGGGCUCGCAUUUCACACUGCACUAGCCUGUUGCUGUCAUGAUUAUUCGUAGUGUUAACCAUUGCCUGGUGUUUUUGAGGCUCUUUGGAACUUUGAAAACAUUCUGAGUAAGGGAAGGCCUUGGAAUUUCGAAUCUAGAUUUGGUAAAACACAUGUGUUUAACAUUAAGGUUGCAUUGUGCUUCCUCUGAUCUGGUGGUAGUUUUGAUAUAUUUGAGUCUUUUCUUUCUGGUUCGGUAAUAACUUCGUAAAAGAACUCGGGGAAAAUAUUAGUAAAAGGUCUGGGAGGGGUUUAUAUUGCUUGCAUGAG